ACGUAAAGGAAGCUUCUGUUUAGAUGUGGUUUCAGGUGAAUUCUAACUCCAAGAGAGAAUCAUUUUAAUACCCUAAUACAGCUCAGCUUGAAGCUCCGGAGGCCAAGGAAGAGAGCCAAAAGAGGGAGGCCAUUCGUGUCAGAGGCAGAAUUGAAUCUAAGGACUCACCGUGGAUGGCUUCUUUGGAGGGCUGGGAGGUCGACGUGGUACCUCUUCAAUGGAGACAGCACUUGAAAAAUAUUAUGCCACUUUCUUCUGGGUUCCAUGGCUUCAGAGGAGAAAUCUGAUGUUAACUGAAUGGUAUUCUUUCAUAGGUUGAGAUGAUAAUAUACAUCCUCAAGUAAACUGAUUCUAUCCACUCCCUAGCAAUGAGCCUAUCCAAGAAAUGGGCUUUCACCAUGUUGGCCAGAUU